GCAUGCUUGUAGAGGCUAUUAAACUGCUCGGGAAAGAGUCAGUGCAUUCCAUUUCCCUCGUGAUGAAGAUGCAUGGAGAGAAUGGAUAAGAGCAGUUCACCGUGAUAAUUUCAUCCCUUCAGAUCACUCUGUGAUUUGUGAGCUGCAUUUCCAUGCACACGAAAUAGAAAGAAGUACAUCGUCAUAUGAUGCUAAGACUGGAAGAUUAAUUACACGCCUCUUGAUCGUCCACGUUUAAGGAAAGGUGCAAUACCAGCACUAUUGCCAGCAUGUCCUGAUUAUUUAUCUACACCAUAAGAAGGCAAUAUCUUUCUUUUCGUUGAAGGUAUUAUGUGAUAAAAUUAAUAGUAGUCAUUUGAAUGAGUGGACCUGUGUCAAAAAGUUGAAUGGUGUGUAUUUUCUUUUAAUUAGUGAAAUGCCAUUUUUGAGAGUUCUGUGGUAUGUUACAAUUAACGCAAGUCUCACUUUCACUGUCCAUGUCAAUGAUUAACAGCUUGGUCAAAUAGGGAACAUAAAGUUUCUAGUAACCAUAAGUACCAAAACACAGUUAGCUAAUAUUCUUAAUAUUGUCGAGUUAAAAUUUAGCAACAGAGAAGAUCAGGAACCUAAUGAGAGUAUUGAUUUCAUAACCACUAUUUUGAAUAAUUUAUCUGAAAACUUGCCAGAUAAACAUGAAAUUAUAAACGUUAUGGAAGAACAGAUUCCAUUGCUAAAAUGCAAGAAGAAAAUUGCAAGAUAUUCGUGGGAUAUUUUAGUUUUGUGGUCAUUAGUUCAUUCUAUUUCUCCUCAGUGUUACAAGUUUUUAAGAAGCAGUGGUAUAAUAACUAUGUCUAGCCCUGCUACUCUGACUAGAAUAUGUGGUGGAUUUGCUAGUAAUACUGCUCUUGAACAAGUUCCUGCACAUUUUCUGGGAUACAUAACUAGGACAGUAAUAUUUUUAACUGAAGAAGACCGGGCGGUCUCCUCUCGAUGCAUGAAAUCCAUUUAAAGUCACAAAUGGGCUACAAAGGGGGAAACGUAGUUGGCCAGGCCUACAAUAGUAGUGAAUUUGCAUCCGUAGCCUACGUAUUCGUGGUGCGUGGUUUGGAUACACAGUACACCGAUGUAGCUCAUAUUCUGCCGGUCAAAGUCUUGCAGGCUCCUGCUCUUUUCACCUUCCUUAAAGAUAUUGUAUUGAAGUUAGAAAACAUAGAGUUUGAAGUUGUUGGUAUUGUAUCUCAUAAUAAUAACAUUAAUAAGAAAGCUGUAUCUUACUUCAGUGAUCCAUCCGAACUUCGACACUCUUCUCCAGGUGCUGGAAGUAGGCUAUUUUAUUUUCUUAUCGAUAGUGUGCACCUAUCAAAAUGCAUAAGAAACAACUGGCUGAAUCAGAAAGAAGAGAUUAUAGAGCUUCCGGAUUUUAAUU